CACCUGUAUCUCUGUCUUUCUUCAAAUGUCAGGAGGACUCUCAUGUCUUCUUGGAGGAUCUCAGUAAUAAUGGCACUUUCGUGGACGGUCUUCUGGUUGGUAAAGAUAAGAAGCUUCCUCUGGUCAACAACGCUGUCCUGUCGUUGGCUGAGCAACGGAACAGAGUGUUUGUCUUCAUUGACCUCCAGUUGGACAAUCAGUCCAGUCUGCCCAAAGGCCUGCAGGAGAAGUAUCUGCUGACUCGACAAAUUGGCGUAGGUGUGUGUGGGGAGGUGCGGCUGGCCUUUGAGCGAUCUACCUGCAAUAAGUUUGCAGUGAAGGUCAUCAACAAGAAGAACUUCCAGUCAGAAGGGACUGCCACACGAAACGCUGAGACAGAGAUCAAGAUUCUGCAGAGGAUCGACCACGUGAGUGACAUGAGGCUCAUGCAGUGACUGAACGCCCUCUCUAAAGCAGGGGACCCCAAACUACGGCCCGCGUGCAAAUUUGGCCCGGCCCAAAAAACGCCAAUUGAGACCCACACAGAACGUGAAUUUUU